rnacentral:rRNA from 1 species
GAUGAACGCUAGCGGCAGGCUUAAUACAUGCAAGUCGAGGGGCAACACGGUUAGCAAUAACUGGUGGCGACCGGCGCACGGGUGCGUAACACGUAUACAAUCUACCUUAAACAGGGGGAUAGCCUUUCGAAAGAGAGAUUAAUACCCCGUAAUAAAUUGAACGGCAUCGUUUGAUUUUGAAAGCUCCGGCGGUUUGAGAUGAGUAUGCGUCUGAUUAGCUAGUUGGUGAGGUAACGGCUCACCAAGGCGACGAUCAGUAGGGGAUCUGAGAGGACUAACCCCCACACUGGUACUGAGACACGGACCAGACUCCUACGGGAGGCAGCAGUAAGGAAUAUUGGUCAAUGGAGGCAACUCUGAACCAGCCAUGCCGCGUGCAGGAUGACGGCCCUAUGGGUUGUAAACUGCUUUUAUACAAGAGAAAACCCUGGUACGUGUACCAGGUUGAUAGUAUUGUAAGAAUAAGCAUCGGCUAACUUCGUG